AACAAGCAAAGAGUUCGGAUAAUUUGACACAGUGCAGUGUGAAAGAGAACCGUAGCUGCUGAAAAUGUAACAAAUGUUGUUAUUUUGGUUCCAGAUUUAACUGAGUCUACCCGGACUAACAGCUAAAAACAAAACAUUUUCUAAGAGUAAAGUUAUUAAAACAGUGAUGAGUGAAUCUGUGCUCACCUGGGAUCCAGUUGUUGCUGUGAACUUUGAGGAAAAGCAGGAGGAAAAUGAUGGAUAAAGCAGAGAAACAGGGAGACAUGAUGACUGCAGAGGAAGGUGAUGAAGAGUGAAGGAGGCAGAGAGGGAGUGGAAGUGAAGAGGAGUAGGACGGUGUCUAGACUUUAAAGGUUACUCAGAGCAAAUUUGUGGCUCAGAGUUACAACAGAAUAAAAUCCUUCCUGCUUUU